UGCGAAACUGGCAACCCCGCCAGAGCGAAAACUCAGCGAAAGACCAUUGACGGAACAGGAGAUCGAUACUUGAAACGUCAUGGUAUAGAUAGAAGAAAAAGUACCUAGAUGUGUGAUGCAACGUUAAUGCGGUAUCUAGAGUAGCAGAAAAUUCACUUUAAUCUAUUGAUUUUACGUGUAGAUCGGUGCAAAAAUUGGGCUUAGUGAAUAUUAAUUGCAGGUCCUAUGGAUUGAUCGCCAAAUCCAGAUAGAUCUAACCUCUUUUUUCACUCAACCCGACGCAGUUCGUAGGGAUCAUAAUUACUCAUUAUUAAACAAGAACCCAAAACUGCUAGUUGAGUCGUAGUUAUAAUUAUUGUUCGGGAGCAUUGAAUGAAUUUGAUAUAUGCGUACUGAAAUUGUAAGAUAUGCCCUCCUAUUAAGUGUUUUCAUUCAGUAAUAAAUUCCCACUUUCAGCUUGUAGCUGUCGCUUACAAGAUUCAGCGUAUCAUUCCACUGUU